ACCUACUCUUGACAUCCAGAGAACUUAGCAGAGAUGCUUUGGUGCCUUCGGGAACUCUGAGACAGGUGCUGCAUGGCUGUCGUCAGCUCGUGUUGUGAAAUGUUGGGUUAAGUCCCGCAACGAGCGCAACCCUUAUCCUUUGUUGCCAGCGGUGAGGCCGGGAACUCAAAGGAGACUGCCAGUGAUAAACUGGAGGAAGGUGGGGAUGACGUCAAGUCAUCAUGGCCCUUACGAGUAGGGCUACACACGUGCUACAAUGGCGCAUACAAAGAGAAGCGACCUCGCGAGAGCAAGCGGACCUCAUAAAGUGCGUCGUAGUCCGGAUUGGAGUCUGCAACU
rnacentral:rRNA from 1 species